GAUGAACGCUAGCUACAGGCUUAACACAUGCAAGUCGAGGGGUAACAAGAGAAAAGCUUGCUUUUCUUGUUGACGACCGGCGCACGGGUGAGUAACGCGUAUCCAACCUGCCUAUAACUAGGGAAUAACCUUGCGAAAGUAAGACUAAUACCCUAUGAUUUCCUUUGAUGACAUCAGAUUAGGAAUAAAGAUUUAUCGGUUAUAGAUGGGGAUGCGUCUGAUUAGCUUGUUGGCGGGGUAACGGCCCACCAAGGCAACGAUCAGUAGGGGUUUUGAGAGGGAGGUCCCCCACAUUGGAACUGAGACACGGUCCAAACUCCUACGGGAGGCAGCAGUGAGGAAUAUUGGUCAAUGGGCGGAAGCUUGAACCAGCCAAGUAGCGUGCAGGAUGACGGCCCUAUGGGUUGUAAACUGCUUUUAUACAGGAAUAAAGUUAGCCACGUGUGGUUAUUUGUAGGUACUGUAUGAAUAAGGACCGGCUAAUUCCGUGCCAGCCGCCGCGGUAA
rnacentral:rRNA from 1 species